rnacentral:tRNA from 1 species
GUUUUAAUAGUUUAAGAAAAAUAUUGGUCUUGUAAACCAAAGCUAAGUGAAUCCUUUUAAAACU